rnacentral:misc_RNA from 1 species
GAUGAAGAACGUAGCAAAAUGCGAUAAGUAAUGUGAAUUGCAGAAUUCAGUGAAUCAUCGAAUCUUUGAACGCACAUUGCGCCCGCUGGUAUUCCGGCGGGCAUGCCUGUUCGAGCGUCAUUUCACCCCUCAAGCCCCCGGGUUUGGUGUUGGGGAUCGGCUCUGCCCUUCUGGGCGGUGCCGCCCCCGAAAUACAUUGGCGGUCUCGCUGCAGCCUCCAUUGCGUAGUAGCUAACACCUCGCAACUGGAACGCGGCGCGGCCAUGCCGUAAAACCCCAACUUCUGAAUGUUGACCUCGGAUCAGGUAGGAAUACCCGCUGAACUUAAGCAUAUCAAUAAGCGGAGGA